AGUGAACGCUGGCGGUAGGCCUAACACAUGCAAGUCGAACGGCAGCACAGUAAGAGCUUGCUCUUACGGGUGGCGAGUGGCGGACGGGUGAGGAAUACAUCGGAAUCUACUUUUUCGUGGGGGAUAACGUAGGGAAACUUACGCUAAUACCGCAUACGACCUACGGGUGAAAGCAGGGGAUCUUCGGACCUUGCGCGAUUGAAUGAGCCGAUGUCGGAUUAGCUAGUUGGCGGGGUAAAGGCCCACCAAGGCGACGAUCCGUAGCUGGUCUGAGAGGAUGAUCCGCCACACUGGAACUGAGACACGGUCCAGACUCCUACGGGAGGCAGCAGUGGGGAAUAUUGGACAAUGGGCGUAAGCCUGAUCCAGCCAUACCGCGUGGGUGAAGAAGGCCUUCGGGUUGUAAAGCCCUUUUGUUGGGAAAGAAAAGCAGCAGGUUAAUACCCCGCUGUUCUGACGGUACCCAAAGAAUAAGCACCGGCUAACUUCGUG
rnacentral:rRNA from 1 species